AUGAAACUAUCGACCAUACCCAGGCUCGAGCUACAGGCGGCAGUGCUAGGAACUCGUCUCAGGAAAUGUAUUCUUGAGGGUCACGACGUCAACCCAAAAUGUGUCCACAUGUGGUCCGACUCCAAGACUGUCUUAGCAUGGAUUAAAUCAGAUCACAGAAAAUAUAAGCCAUAUGUAGGACACAGAAUUGACGAGAUACUUGAAGCCACAAGGUUGGAAGAUUGGCAUUGGGUGCCUACUGAGGAUAACCCGGCAGACUUUGGCACCAAACUCAGAUCUGGAGCUCGAGAAACCUCCUGGUUGAGAGGCCCUCAAUUCCUUCAAGAGGACGCAAGUCAAUGGAAUCUAGGAACUUCAGACGUUGGUGACACGGAACUGGAACUAAGAAGCAAGUUUACGUUAUCAAUCAAUGAGAUGGCUUCAGAUGGAUCUGUCAAUAUCGUAUUCAGGGAGUUGCUGGAAAGGUUCUCCUCAUUUACAAGGCUGAUGCGAGUUGUCGCUUGCGUCUACAGGAUGUGUGAUCGUAAGAACAAACGAAAAGUUUACCUUGAUGUAGCUGAAAUUGAAGAAGCUGUACUCAUAGUGAUCCGCAAUGUACAGGAUGUUGCAUUUCAUGAUGAGCGGGUGGCGCUAUUGACUGGACAGUCCAUCGAAAGGAACAGCAAGCUGUGGAAGUUGUCUCCGAUCAUACACGGAAGAGGAGUGAUUCGCAUGAAUGGGCGUAUUAAUAACGCAUGUUCGGUUGGAGAAGAAACCAGGCGUCCAAUAUAAAUGCCCCAAGGGCAUCACGUUACAAAGUUGAUCGUGCGACAUUAUCACGAGCUAUGGAAACACCAGAAUGAAAACACAAUUAUAGCAGCUUCACCAAAAACGCCAUUAACGGGAGAACUUCCUAAGGACAGACUCUCUCUGUACGUACGCCCAUUCUCAUAUGUUGGAAUCGACUAUAUGGGACCGUUUCUGGUUGUAAGAGGAAGGAGUACCGAGAAACGCUGGAUAUGCAUAUUUACAUGCCUUACAAUAAGAGCAAUUCAUUUGGAAAUGGCCAGGGGCCUGACAACAGAUACGUGUCUUCGAGUAUUGCAUAACUUCGUGGCGCGGCGCGGAAGACCAGUAAGAAUCCGAUCUGACAAUGGUACUAAUUUGGUGGGAGCUGAGCGUGAAUUGAAAAGAGAAUUACAGGACCUCGAUCACAUUAGAAUAGCGAACGAGUUGUCAACCAAGCAGAUCGAAUGGCUGUUUAAUUACCGGCUAAACCCCCAUGCAGGUGGGUGCUGGGAAAGAUUGGUACGAAGUGUGAAGAGGGCCAUAGGACACGCACAGCAUGACAAAAACCUGAAAGAAGACAUACUGUAUAGCCUUAUGUGUAACGCUGAAAACAUAGUAAUUUCCAGACCGCUUACACACAUUGCUCUGGAUAACCCCACAGACGAUCCGAUAACCCCUAAUCACUUUCUUUUAGGUUCUCCCAAUUCUAGUCAGACACCACAUCCACAAGAGGAGAAGUACCAGCCAACUCGAAAGGAACUCACACUCAUUUUGGAAUAAGUGGCUCAAUGAGUACCUACCAGACCUAUGCAGACGGACAAAGUGGCAUCACCCAGUGCCACCACUCGCUGAAAUGGACAUUGUUCUUAUCUGUGAUAAGAAUCUUCAUCGAUCUCAAUGGAAAAAGGGAGUUAUUCUAGCAGUCACGCCUGGACGCGACGGACAGGUUCGCUCAGCCACUGUAAAGACGACGGCUGGAGUUCUACACCGCCCAACCUGUAUGCUGGCAAAGCUAGACAUAUUGUGAAUCACGUGCUUGAUUCACGGUGGUGGGGAUGUUGUUGAGAAAAAUUAGCUUAUAUAUACUUAGUUUUAAGCAAGGGCACAGAUACCCUACAUAAAGAAAAAAGAGAGAAGAAAAAUGGCCACACUAUGAAAAGACAAGAAGAAAAAUGGUCACAAUAUGAAAAGACAAGAAGGUCACAUUAGUUUGAGCAGUCGAAAAAAGAGCGGGGAGAAAAGACGAAGUGUGCGUAGAUAUAUUACCUACAUAUAAGAAUAAAAUGUAUUAACCUCCUUUUGCAAAUAGGAAAUAAAACGCAACCAACGCCCAAGUACCUAUGAAGAUUAGCGAUUGUGUUUUAUCCGCAAUUCUCACGUUCCUGGACUCAACAAGGAGUAUUUCCUAUGUUUUAGAUUUUCCUCUUUUGCCCAUUUCUCGAUUAGGGAAAGCAUUUUGUUAGACAUAUUGCCACAAAGAUUUAUUUCAUUAACAGGACUAAAUUUGGACGUCAUCAGCAUAUAAAUGUACUUCACAGUCAAGCAAGAAACAAUAAGGGGCCUAGAACUGUUCCCUGAGGGACUCCCCGUAUAAGAACCCUAAAAGUGGAAGGAUAUGUGCCGGAUACUACUGCCUGCAAUCUAUUUGUUAGGUACGAUUUCACAGAAUUGACUGCAGUCCCUGAGAAGUUGGUUGGAAACGAGGACGUGAAAGAUAUAAGUGAAAAAAUCUUAGGAAGUACAAUGUUCACAAAUUUCGGGCUGAUGUUAUCGAGACUUUCAGCAUUGGACGUCACAUUAAGUAUACAUGCAAGGACAUCACAUUGAUGGACACAAACAAAGCUAAAACUAUUAUCACCAAGUGGAAUGCUAUUCAGAUGCAUCGCGGGUUGUCUUUACGACUCCCGGGCCACCUAUUCCUCACCACAUGUCGGCAGACCGACCACAGGUCCAAAACACGAAAGCGGCUUUUUUUCAACAAACAGUGACAAAAUGCUCAACUGUUAUUCCAUCAAUCACUCCGCGCCAUUAAGGACCAGCUUUACGGUCACCUUAAGCCUGCAGCAGCGACUUCUGCCGGGACAGCUGAACUGCACUUUGCAAGCUGUCGUCUUCUCUUUUUUUUUUCUUUCUACUCAUCUGCCUUUACUAUUCCGAGUGACAUUUGUUAAAAUACCACCCGAACCUGCGUCAGUCCAGAUGCAUGUGAAUUCGGAAAAUGAUUGUGCGCCAUUUGUUACAUUUUGCUUGUUUCCCAGAGGGCAACGCCGGCUAGCUGUCGAACCCCAGGGCUGGGUGGUGCCCCUUGCCCGCCAAAUGUAGACAAAGAUGGAGACUUAUUACCUCUCAGGACAUCGAACCUAACAACAAAUUCAAAGUCAAAGAAAACAAUAAACAGACGGCUGUCAAGUGGGUGAAGUUUGGGUGUUAUCACUUCGCGCGCCCGCCCUACCUGUGCCCAAACACAACGUUUAUUUGGGCCACCCUCUUCAGGAACGGCUUCGGCUGGCCUAAUCCAUAGCUUACGCCACGCGUCCUCCCUCUAUUUUAAUUUACUGCAUCAUUUUUCAAUGUAUAGCUUCAAUAAUAAUCGAUUGACAACUUCAUCUUUCUCAUAAAUAACUAUAUAUACGCAAAAUUAUCACUAACAACAAAAACACCACAACGUUCGACACCAAGGUAAAUAGAGAAAUAUCUGCUGAAAUUUUGUUCAACCGCCAGGGAUUCCCUCACCCAUAGGUAGUGGAUCAUGUGUAGAUGAGUGGAUCCACCUUUUCUUGAUUUAAUUUAGGCCGCUAUGGAGACUAACCUACCAAGAGCUCUUGUUAAGGGUCCCCGGGACAUAAGCAAUAGACAAUAAUUAGAUUACCACAAAUCGCCCGACCAAAUACGGUGGACUAACGGAACCCCGUGUCACCCACUAAGGGUUAAUCUUCUGCAACUGCAACAGCUGAUUGCAGUUUUCGGUUCGUGAAUGGUAGAGGGCCAAGAUGUUACAUUAAACUGCAUAAGCUAAGAAUAAAUACUAAAUACCAUGUAAAGGACAACACAAGGAACAAAAUAACAUUUAAUGUGGAAGGUGUUGGCGUGUGGAUUAUGUUAUUUUUGUGUGCGUUCAAGCGACGGGGGCGAUCGCUGUCCGUGGCCGGUCAGCCCU